CCACAAUGGACGAAAGUCUGAUGGAGCGACGCCGCGUGCGGGAUGAAGGCCUUAUGGGUUGUAAACCGCUGUCAGGGGGAAGAACAUCGGAAUGAACAAUACUCAUUCCGACUGACGUUACCCCCAGAGGAAGCUCCGGCCAACUCCGUGCCAGCAGCCGCGGUAAUACGGGGGGAGCAAGCGUUGUCCGGAAUUAUUGGGCGUAAAGGGCGUGUAGGCGGCGAGGUAAGUCGAAUGUGAAAUCUCACGGCUCAACCGUG
rnacentral:rRNA from 1 species